UACGGAGGAUCCGAGCGUUAUCCGGAUUUAUUGGGUUUAAAGGGUGCGUAGGUGGCCUGUUAAGUCAGGGGUGAAAGACGGUAGCUCAACUAUCGCAGUGCCCUUGAUACUGAUGGGCUUGAAUGAACUAGAGGUAGGCGGAAUGUGACAAGUAGCGGUGAAAUGCAUAGAUAUGUCACAGAACACCAAUUGCGAAGGCAGCUUACUAUGGUUUUAUUGACACUGAGGCACGAAAAGCGUGGGGAUCAAACAGG
rnacentral:rRNA from 1 species